rnacentral:rRNA from 1 species
AUUGAACGCUGGCGGCAUGCCUUACACAUGCAAGUCGAACGGCAGCACGGGAGCAACCCUGGUGGCGAGUGGCGAACGGGUGAGUAAUAUAUCGGAACGUGCCCAGUCGUGGGGGAUAACGUAGCGAAAGCUACGCUAAUACCGCAUACGAUCUAUGGAUGAAAGCGGGGGAUCGCAAGACCUCGCGCGAUUGGAGCGGCCGAUAUCAGAUUAGGUAGUUGGUGAGGUAAAGGCUCACCAAGCCGACGAUCUGUAGCUGGUCUGAGAGGACGACCAGCCACACUGGGACUGAGACACGGCCCAGACUCCUACGGGAGGCAGCAGUGGGGAAUUUUGGACAAUGGGCGCAAGCCUGAUCCAGCAAUGCCGCGUGCAGGAUGAAGGCCUUCGGGUUGUAAACUGCUUUGUACGGAACGAAACGGUGAGCUCUAAUACAGUUUGCUAAUGACGGUACCGUAAGAAUAAGCACCGGCUAACUACGUG